ACUUGGUGGUUGUCACCACAGCAAGACCACCCGUUAGGGGACUGGAGCUCAGAGGGUCCCUGGAGAACAGGACCAACGGUGUCUUUUCAUCAAAGAACGGCAGAACAGCGUCUUUUCACCAAAGAACAAACGACUGGGAGGUGGAGGCAGAUGCUCUGCGUUGGUCUCAGUUACAGACUCGGAAGUUGAGGGCGACUUCGGAGUCACAGAUUUGGUUGUCACCAAAGUUCCUUGUCUCAGCGACGAGGGGCUGCCUUAGACGUCAGGAUGAGGAGACUUCAAGCUGGCUCAUUCUAUCCUGGUAGAAGGGAAAUCCAGGCAUCGGGUCCUGCAGUGGUCAGCGCUGGCUCCGUCCGACUCCGUGCGAAUCGCCUUGGGUUUGUCCCUUUUGUCGCCGAGGCUCUGGAGAUGCUCAGACCAAAUGUGAUCAAGCACUUUCUUCGCUGCAUAUACCCAGUGUUGUGGCUGGCACCACUGAUCACGGAAUCUUCUAAGUGCAGAGCUGAUGCCAGGCACCACUUGCAUCUCCAGAACUGAGUGCUAAGUAAUCAUAUUUUCUUUAUAAAGUUAGUUUGCCUGAAGAAUUACAUGGUUGACAAUAAAAAGCACAUUCAAACACCUUCU
rnacentral:lncRNA from 1 species